GGCUCAAUGGUCUAGAAGUAUGAUUCGCCCUUCGGGUUCUACCCGGCAACCAACCCGGUCGCCACAGAUUGGGCGAGGGUCCCGGGUUCAAUUCCCGGUUGAGCCC